AGAGAGUGAGCCUCACGACGCCUGAGCAACACUGUGUCAGGUCCUCGCCAGGACCAGUUACGGCGUAGGUUUCACGAAGCGGACGACCAGCGACUGGCUCCGACAUCAACGCAGGCCGUGGCGCAACCCGCCGGAAGUUGAAAAUAUUACUGACACCAAGCGGAAUUGCCACUGCUAUUGAUAUUUUUAUUGGGGUGCGUUUUCACCGGUGCUUGAGGCAAAGCGAAGCGGUGGAUUCUACGGGGCUUGAAAAUCACUGAUGAUCGACUGGUGAUUGGGGGAUUAAGUGUGAGAGAGAGAAAGUGAAGAAUCUGUAAUGGGGGAGGUUGAUCAGCUGUUGGAAGAAAUGCGACUGGUGCCGGCGCGUCUCAAGCUCGUGAUAUGUCUGCCACGUAUUCUCAACCACGCAGAGCGCAAAAGUCAUUGAAGGAGAGAUCAUGCUUAUCCGAUGUAGCCCAGUUUGUUGACCUGGAACUGGAAGUGAAAAACCUGGAGGUCUCCUUUCAAUAGUUCUGCGUGGAUCAUCUAGCUCCCAGCGACUGGAGGAGAUGUUGGAGCGAAUCCAUCACGACUCUGUAUACGAAUUUUAGUCAGAGUACAGUUGGAUACUGGAUUUUCCGGUGUUGUCCUUGGCCACAUCGAGAAGUGGAAAGCGGCGUGCGGGUUGCAGCGGAGAACCACUGGUUCAUCCCAAAAGAUCGACGCUGCGGUUCUUCGACUCCUCAACCAGACAUCGAUCGGUGGGGAUGACAGUUGGUACGUUCCAAACCUAUCGCGGAGACGGAUGGUUCCCUAGAUCUUUGCUGUUCCAACAGUAGGACGAAUAAGAAGUAGGUAGGAGUUGUAUGGGAGCCACUCAUUGAGGUAACCAAAGCUAAGAGUCCAGGCUGCGUUACGUUUUCUUAUCCUCGAUGUACCAACUCGUGGUCACAGUUACUUUGGUGAUUGAAUCACUGGACUUGCACCAUUCAAUCUCCAUCGCCUUGCACGAGACCUUCAUACAUGAGAACUGGUUUGUUAUAAUUUACUGCUAUACAAUUUGUUCGUUCGAUUUGUCGACCGUAUGUCUGCUGAUAUAACUGGCGAUACGGCAUCAAUAGAGAAUGUAUGAUCAGGAAUCAUAGUCGGGAAGUAAAGUCGAUUUGCAGUCAA